rnacentral:rRNA from 1 species
GACGAACGCUGGCGGCGUGCUUUACACAUGCAAGUCGAACGGAAAGGCCUGCUUUCCCUUGUGGAUUGCGGGUACUCUAGUGGCGAACGGGUGAGUAACACGUGAGUGAUCUGCCCCCAAAUCGGGUAUAAGCCUGGGAAACUGGGUCUAAUUCUCGAUAGGACUGCAGGGUGGUGCCUGUGGUGGAAAAUGAUUUUCUAGUGGUUGGGGAUGAGCUCGCGGCCUAUCAGCUUGUUGGUGGGGUAAUGGCCUACCAAGGCGGCGACGGGUAGCCGGCCUGAGAGGGUGGACGGCCACAUUGGGACUGAGAUACGGCCCAGACUCCUACGGGAGGCAGCAGUGGGGAAUAAUGCACAAUGGGCGGAAGCCUGAUGCAGCGACGCCGCGUGGGGGAUGACGGCCUUCGGGUUGUAAACUCCUUUCGACCGCGAGGAAGCCACCUGGUUGGAAGGGUGGUGACGGUAGUGGUAGAAGAAGCACCGGCUAACUACGUG